UCGAGCGUAUCGAGACCGGCCAGCAAUUCCUCGCUGAAAUCGGUGAUCUUGAAGAACCAUUGCGUCAGUUCGCGCUGUUCGACCAGCGCGCCCGAAC
rnacentral:tRNA from 1 species